rnacentral:lncRNA from 1 species
CGGCAACUGUGCAGAGAGGCUUGCAGGUCCAAACCACUGGUAGCAGCCCCUGGUAUAUCCAGGACAUCAGCACAUAGAACCAGUGAAAGGGUCCUCCCUCAUAGUGACGCAUGUCAUAGACUCAGAUUUAUACAAACAAAUGCUGAGCAAACCAUGAAGAGUCUCUGGUAUUUUCAACAAUAUCAUCACAGAGGAACUGUAUUGAUUUCCUUCCUUCAGUGGUCCAAGAACCUGCUGCUCCCGGGUCCUCUCAUUUGAAGACACCCACCGCCUAAGGAUGAAGAGAAGCUCCUUCUUGCAGAUCUGAGGCUGAUUUCCCAACUCCCAGGAACACCCUACCCACAGCCUGUUCCCCAGACCCAGGUCUGUCCCCUUAUGCCUGGUCCCAAGUCAAAACCAGCUGUUCCUAUUUUAG